UACGUAGGGUGCAAGCGUUGUCCGGAAUUAUUGGGCGUAAAGAGCUCGUAGGCGGUUUGUCGCGUCUGCCGUGAAAGUCCGGGGCUCAACUCCGGAUCUGCGGUGGGUACGGGCAGACUAGAGUGAUGUAGGGGAGACUGGAAUUCCUGGUGUAGCGGUGAAAUGCGCAGAUAUCAGGAGGAACACCGAUGGCGAAGGCAGGUCUCUGGGCAUUAACUGACGCUGAGGAGCGAAAGCACGGGGAGCGAACAGG
rnacentral:rRNA from 1 species